AAUUUCAGUUUGUUUGGCUGCCAACGAUUCCGUUACUCCAAAUGGCGGCGCUCAUCGUUCCCGUAACCCCGCCACUCCGCCGCCAGUUUCACGUUUCCGCCGCUCUAUCAUCGCCGCCUCGUAGAAACUCGCCGGCGGUGGACUGGGUGAAGGAGACUGCCAGCUUCUCCGAGCAGGAUUCCCGACCAAUCAUGCUCUUCGACGGUGUCUGCAAUCUGUGUAAUGGAGGUGUGAAGAUUGUUCGAGAUAAUGACAGGAGAAGAAAUAUUAGAUUUGAGGCUCUGCAAAGUGAAUCAGGCAAAAAGUUAUUGCAGAGAUCAGGAAGAGCUCCUGAUGAUAUUUCAAGUGUUGUUCUUGUUGAAAAAGAUAGUUAUUUCAGGUCUUAUAUAAAAUCGGAAGCUGUAUUAAAGAUAAUGGAAUACAUUGAUUUGCCCUUUCCUCAGCUGGCCUUGUUUCUCCAAUUUGUACCAUUAUUCGUGCGGGAUUUCGUGUAUGACAACAUUGCAGAUAAUAGAUACAAUAUUUUCGGUCGCUCAGAUUCUUGUGACAUAUAGAAAUUCUAUUUCUGCGCUCUUUUCUUGAAGAGAAGCAAGUGGAGUAUAUAAUAUUUUGUCAUGCAACCCAAUGCCGGCAUCAAUGCACGAGCUUUUCCAUGAGCAUUGGAGCAGAAGGACCUUGUUGGUUGAUUUGUACCUGCCGAUUUUAUGUCCACAUCGUCCACAUUGAUGUUAGUGCAAUGUACCGUCUUGCUGCAGUUGAAGAUAAACAAUGGAUGAUCAGUGCACGACGUAUGCCCACAUCUCUCGUGAUUUCAGUCUAGACAUUCGUUACUUACUUUUUCAGCGCAUAUCUUGUGAGGGCAGUAAUUCUGGUUGAUGAUAACGGGGUUUUUAGCCUCUAUAAAGAUUAUCUGGGAGAAAUUGAUGUUCCUGGCAAAUCCAGAACCUCCCUACAGAAGAAAUCAAACCACAGGUUCGUUUUUCGUACUUUAAGAAACUCGUUAAUUAGUUGUCUCGGUUUUUGAGCUGUUACCUGCCAUGUUUUGAUCCUCACUCCAUUUGUAGUUCUGUUAAAAGUGCAAUUGCGUAUGUUUAUUGCUUCUACUUCUUCGCGCUUCCCAUUCUUCCCUAAACUCCCGAUACUGCCAAACACACGAAAAGGAUCCAUAUUGUCUCAUUUUGUUUAAAUUUUGUGAAAGAACAUUAUAUUGCGACCGAGUGAGAGAGAGGAGACCUUAUUCCAUGUCCAGGGCCACAGAAUAUGUUGGAUAUGUUGACUUGUGAAGUACCACCAUUAAUGGCAAUGCAGUCAUCCCCUAACCAACACGAACAACGCGCGAUCCCAGCCAGUUAGAACACAUAUAUACGGCUGCUUGACAGAUAGAAUAAGGCAAUGAGUACCAGUUUCCAUGGAAGAGUUAACAAUGCGAAGACCGCUUGAAUUACUGAUGUCAAUUCCAUCUGUGUUGGGGCUCUCCGAAGGGGCGAUCAUGACUAGGUCUGAAACAGUCGCGUUUUUGCAUCCGUUUAUAGAAACAUGGUUCAUCUGGCUGUUUACAUGUUUCAAUCCCCUGACUUCAAGUCUGUUGCAGAGAGAAAACCGCAUUGCCUUGGAAAAGAACACCGAAGAAAUAAGGUUUGCAAACAUGUUGAAAUAAGUAUCAUACUACUGUCUAUAUAUAUGGGAUGAAAUACUUACAGUCGGUCGUGAUAUCGAAUCGCCCUGCAACGCAUAAUAACAGUAGAAAGUUGGUUAUCUGAUGAUGACUAAUGGUGGAAGCUAAUUAAGUAAGAGUGGUUUUAGAGGUCUCACAUUCUUCCACCACGUCUCUCCACGGCCAUCGAUCACUCCUUGGCGCUCCCCUACCACAGUGAGCCCGUCGACUCUGUGAAAAUAGAGCCAUUCGUUCGAGCCAUUCUUCUGCCAUGCUGAUCUUGGUGGAGCCACAAUCUUUCCUAGUAUCUGUGGUGAACAAAAAAUGAAAUAUUUUUUUCCAAUUGUGUGAAUUUAAUUAAAUAGAUUUAUGUAGUUAUUGCAAAGGGAUGUGUUACCUCAAAUGUGAUUGAGGUGGAAGAGCAUGGCCCUUGAAAUUGGAUUUCAGAAACCAAAUAUGUCUUCCCACUGCC